rnacentral:rRNA from 1 species
AACGAACGCUGGCGGCAGGCUUAACACAUGCAAGUCGAACGCCCCGCAAGGGGCGUGGCAGACGGGUGAGUAACACGUGGGAACAUGCCCAAAGGUACGGAAUAUUCUCGGGAAAAUGAGAGCAAUACCGUAUGUGCCCGAAAGGGGAAAGAUUUAUCGCCUUUGGAUUGGCCCGCGUCGGAUUAGCUAGUUGGGGGGGUAAAAGCCUACCAAGGCGACGAUCCGUAGCUGGUCUGAGAGGACGCCCAGCCACACUGGGACUGAGACACGGCCCAGACUCCUACGGGAGGCAGCAGUGGGGAAUCUUGGACAAUGGGCGCAAGCCUGAUCCAGCCAUGCCGCGUGGAUGAUGAAGGCCCUAGGGUUGUAAAAUCCUUUCGUUGGGGACGAUAACGACGGUACCCAAAGAAGAAGCUCCGGCUAACUUCGCG